ensembl:snRNA U2 U2 spliceosomal RNA
AUCGCUUCUCUGCCUUUUGGAUAAGAUCAAGUGUAGAAUCUGUUCUCAUCAGUUUAACAUCUGAUAUGUCCUCUAUAUAAGGACUACACAUUAAAUUGAUUUUUAGAACAGGGCAACGGAAGAGGAGCUUGCUCCGUCUGCUCCACACAUCGACCUGGUAUUGCUGUACCUCCAGGAAUUGUGCACCUCCU